rnacentral:rRNA from 1 species
UACCGAAAGGUAUGCUAAUACGGGAUAAUAUAUUUGAGAGGCAUCUCUUAAAUAUCAAAGGUGAGCCAGGACAGGAUGGACCCGCGUCUGAUUAGCUAGUUGGUAAGGUAACGGCUUACCAAGGCGACGAUCAGUAGCCGACCUGAGGGGGUGAUCGGCCACAUUGGAACUGAGACACGGUCCAAACUCCUACGGGAGGCAGCAGUGGGGAAUAU